rnacentral:rRNA from 1 species
UACGGAGGGUGCAAGCAUUGAUCGGAAUUACUGGGCGUAAAGGGCGCGUAGGCGGCUCUGAAAGUCAGGUGUGAAAUUCCGGGGCUCAACCCCGGAGCUGCAUUUGAAACUCCAGAGCUAGAGUAUAGUUAGGGUAAACGGAAUUCCACGUGUAGCGGUGAAAUGCGUAGAUAUGUGGAAGAACACCGGUGGUGAAGACGGUUUACUGGGCUGUAACUGACGCUGAGGCGCGAAAGCUAGGGGAGCAAACAGG